ACAUACGACCAUGCCCACUGGAAAACUUAGGAUCCCGUCUGAUCUCCCAUGUAUAAGCCGGUGAGGGGUGGAUUAGUAGUUGGAUCGGUGACGACCAACGAAUCCCCACUGUUGUAUGUU
rfam:Nectria haematococca mpVI 77-13-4 chromosome 6 genomic scaffold NECHAsca_20_chr6_4_0, whole genome shotgun sequence.